GUGGCCAUGGUAGCCACGGAAGCCCUGGGGUGGUACGAAAGGAAGGGGGCCUCGACCCCAGGCGAAGGGUCCCCCACAACACCCUAGGUCCCGGCGGCCACGGCCUGACAGCGCUGCGGCGCCUAGGGCGAUGCGCCUAGGGGAGGGAUCUCCUCUGGGCCCCGAAGGACGGGACGAUGAUCUAUUCAGAAGAGCAGGAUGAGGACCUGAGCCCUAGGACCAUGCCUCAGGACUACCUGGCCUGAUGACUCCUUACUGUCCCCAUUCCACCUAGCCGUGCUGCUGCUCCAGUUUCAACUGUUCUGCCUGUGGCUAUGGAACCCUGACCUGUUCACCGGACGUGCUACCUGUCACAGACCUGCUGUUUUCAACUCUCUAGAGACAGCAGGAGCGGUAGAGAUACUCUGAAUGAUCGGCUUUGAAAAGCCAACUGACAUUUGCUCCUGAGCUGCUGACCCGUUGCACCCUCGACAACCACUGUGAUUAUUAUUAUUUGACCCUGCUGGUCAUCUAUGAACAUUUGAACGUCUUGGGCAUGUUCUGUUAUUAUCUCCACCUGAAACAGCCAGAUGAGGACUGGCCACCCCUCAUAGCCUGGUUUUGGCCUUUCUAGGCAGUUUUUCCUAGCCACCGUGCUUCUACACCUGCAUUGCUUGCUGUUUGUGGUUUUAUGCUGGGUUUCUGUACAGCACUUUGAGAUAUCAGCUGAUGUAAGAAGAGCUUUAUAAAUACAUUUGAAGUACUGCCCUAAUGGUUUACAGUACUCCAUAGAAUUGGUAAUAACAAGUGGUAAUAACACAGUAAUAACAUGGUAAUAAAACACAGUAAUAACACAGUAUAAACAGUAAGAACAUGUUAAUAAAUAAGUGUUGUGUGCUUUGGCAUUGCGUGUAUGAACAAUUGUGAUAUUGUCGCUCUCUCCUGACUGUUCAUGCAUGUUUUAUUUUCCUGAGAGUUCAAAGAAGACACUUCCAAUCCUCUGGUAGCACAGACUGUUCUGUCUGUUCUGUCAGACUAGAAUAAAAUACUGAGAGAUGAGUGCACCAAUCUGACCUGUCACCUGAGUGGUUAAUUGCUCUAACUACCAGUCUGUGUACAGGGGUUAGUUGACCUCCUCCAUAACAAACUCCUGCCCUCAUGCACACACAACAACACGCCCUCACACAGAUGCAAACCCACUCACGAAAAAUUCCCUCACACUCACAUACCUGGUUUGAAGGUGUGUGACAGGUGUUUGGUUAUUGCGUGCCAAAGGACUGAAGACUUCAGCUGCCUUUACAGUCAUUACUCAGAAAGGGAGAUGCUUCAAGGGAAUUUCAAUUUGCUGUGGGCUAAACAGUGUUUUGGUUAUGAUGUGAGCUCUGUAAAUGGACAUCCUGGAUGUAUGUGUGUGACCCUUACAUGACUAAAUAACAGACUACUUGAACAUUUCCUAUUGAUAUUUGUCACUUUAUUGUCCUCAAUUGCUGCCCUAUAUACAUAGACUUGGAAUCACUGGC
ensembl:lncRNA